rnacentral:rRNA from 1 species
CCCUUAGAUGUUCUGGGCCGCACGCGCGCUACACUGAUGCAUUCAACGAGCCUAGCCUUGACCGAGAGGUCCGGGUAAUCUUUGAAACUGCAUCGUGAUGGGGCUAGAUUAUUGCAAUUAUUAAUCUUCAACGAGGAAUGCCUAGUAAGCGUGAUUCAUCAAAUCGCGUUGAUUACGUCCCUGCCCUUUGUACACACCGCCCGUCGCUCCUACCGAUUGAAUGGUCCGGUGAAGCGUUCGGACCGUGGCCUUUGGGCGGUUCGCCGUCUGUUGGCUGCGGGAAGUUCGUUAAACCUUAUCAUUUAGAGGAAGGAGAAGUCGUANCA